rnacentral:rRNA from 3 species
CCACACGUACCCAUCCCGAACACGACCGUUAAGCCCUCCAGCGCCGAUGGUACUUGGACCGCAGGGUCCUGGGAGAGUAGGACGUCGCCAAGC